GUGGGGAAUUUUGGACAAUGGGCGCAAGCCUGAUCCAGCAAUGCCGCGUGCAGGAAGAAGGCCUUCGGGUUGUAAACUGCUUUUGUACGGAACGAAACGGUCCUGGCUAAUAUCCGGGGCUAAUGACGGUACCGUAAGAAUAAGCACCGGCUAACUACGUGCCAGCAGCCGCGGUAAUACGUAGGGUGCGAGCGUUAAUCGGAAUUACUGGGCGUAAAGCGUGCGCAGGCGGUGCUGUAAGACAGGCGUGAAAUCCCCAGGCUCAACCUGGGAAUUGCGCUUGUGACUGCAGUGCUGGAGUGCGGCAGAGGGGGAUGGAAUUCCGCGUGUAGCAGUGAAAUGCGUAGAUAUGCGGAGGAACACCGAUGGCGAAGGCAAUCCCCUGGGCCUGCACUGACGCUCAUGCACGAAAGCGUGGGGAGCAAACAGGAUUAGAAACCCGGGUAGUCC
rnacentral:rRNA from 1 species